GACGAACGCUGGCGGCGUGCUUAACACAUGCAAGUCGAACGAAGAGCGAUGGAAGCUUGCUUCUAUCAAUCUUAGUGGCGAACGGGUGAGUAACGCGUAAUCAACCUGUCCUUCAGAGGGGGACAACAGUUGGAAACGACUGCUAAUACCGCAUACGAUCUAAUCUCGGCAUCGAGGAUAGAUGAAAGGUGGCCUCUACAUGUAAGCUAUCACUGAAGGAGGGGAUUGCGUCUGAUUAGCUAGAUGGAGGGGUAACGGCCCACCAAGGCGAUGAUCAGUAGCCGGUCUGAGAGGAUGAGCGGCCACAUUGGGACUGUGACACGGCCCAGACUCCUACGGGAGGCAGCAGUGGGGAAUCGGCCGCAAUGGGCGGAAGUCUGACGGAACAACGCCGCGUGAGCGAUGACAGCCUUCGGGUUGGAAAGCUCUGUUAAUCGGGACGAAAGGCCUUCUUGCGAAUAGUGAGAAGGAUUGACGGUACCGGAAUAGAAAGCCACGGCUAACUACGUG
rnacentral:rRNA from 1 species